AGUGAACGCUGGCGGUAGGCCUAACACAUGCAAGUCGAACGGCAGCACAGUAAGAGCUUGCUCUUACGGGUGGCGAGUGGCGGACGGGUGAGGAAUACAUCGGAAUCUACUUUUUCGUGGGGGAUAACGUAGGGAAACUUACGCUAAUACCGCAUACGACCUACGGGUGAAAGCAGGGGAUCUUCGGACCUUGCGCGAUUGAAUGAGCCGAUGUCGGAUUAGCUAGUUGGCGGGGUAAAGGCCCACCAAGGCGACGAUCCGUAGCUGGUCUGAGAGGAUGAUCGGCCACACUGGAACUGGGACACGGUCCAGACUCCUACGGGAGGCAGCAGUGGGGAAUAUUGGACAAUGGGCGCAAGCCUGAUCCAGCCAUACCGCGUGGGUGAAGAAGGCCUUCGGGUUGUAAAGCCCUUUUGUUGGGAAAGAAAAGCAGCAGGUUAAUACCCCGCUGUUCUGACGGUACCCAAAGAAUAAGCACCGGCUAACUUCGU
rnacentral:rRNA from 1 species